CACGACUGAGACCUGACGGACUUAUUACUUCUUGACGAUCAUCUUAUAUCCAUCAUCAUCCGAUACAUAGAUUCGACGCUAGUGCUCAUCUUUAUCAGAAUUAGUGCGUAUUUCAUGCAUAUUACAUUCCGACGUUAACCGGAAGUGACGUUUCAUUGACCGGAAGUGGCGUGUUCAUCACCAUAAGUUGGGGAAUAUUCAGCUCUCCUAUACCUGAGGGCGCCGGUUGCUGACUUUUGACGGUGAAGAUGACAGAUUCCGAGUCUUUGGAAGGGAGCCCAAAAAGGUCAUGGAAAGAAACAGAACGG